UCAGACCUGGAGGCUAUUUUGCUUAUUCAUCUCCUGAAGCAUAUGCACAAGACGAUGAGGAUUUGAGAAUCUGGAGAGAGAUGAGUGCACUUGUGGAACGUAUGUGUUGGAGAAUAGCUGAAAAAAGGAAUCAAACUGUCAUUUGGGUCAAGCCUUUGACAAAUGACUGUUAUAUGGAACGACCACCUGGUACUCAACCCCCUCUUUGCCAGUCUGAUGAUGAUCCUGAUGCAGUGUGGGGAGUCAAAAUGGAAGCUUGCAUUUCACGUUACUCAGACCGUAAGUUUCUGAUUUGCAUCAAACUUAUUUUAUUUUAUUUUUUCUUUACCUUUUUGUAGCCCUAAAUGUGAAACAUAUUCAAUAAAGUUCGGAGAUGAUAAUUACUCUGCACUUAGAAACAGUGCUUGAAGAUCAGGGCUGGUGAAUACGAUCCAAUAUCCUGAAUUUUAGAAAGCUUGAGUGCUUAAAGCCUUAAAUGGGGCAGAUUUUACCUGAAUAAUAACUUGCUAUUAGCUAAAGAAGCAGCAGGUUGUUUAUUUGCUCUUCACUUAAGAUUUUUUUUAUUUGUAGUCACUUGCUGUAUUCAGAAGUGAUAACUACCUCCUUAGUUUGUGUUUUAAGUGCUUUUCACAUUGGGUUACAGCCUGUGAAUGGAUAGAAAGUUCUUGGCUUUAGGGCACAAAUUGAAUGGUUUGGCACUUGUACUAACAAUUGUAGUUUGAAGUUAAAAGAGUUUUGGUGCUUCAGGGUUAUGCCGAGGACAAUCACAAUAGUAAUGGAAAAAACAGGUUUAUGAUCUAAAUGGUAAUUUACUCUGUUCUUUUUCUUUCAGAUGAUCAUAGGACUAGGGGUAGCGGUUUGGCCCCUUGGCCUGCUCGACUGACUGCUCCACCUCCACGCCUUGCUGAUUUCGGUUACUCAAGUGAAAUGUGGGAAAAAGACAUGGUAAUUUUGAGGCCUAAUAUUAGCUCUCUCUCUCUUUCUCUCUCUCUCUGUCUCUCUCUCUCUCUAUGUGCUCUUUAGUUGUAUAUCUCAAAGGCCUUUGUACUUCUGUGGUAUAUGCACAGCAACUUUGGCAGCGGAGGGUUGAGAAUUACUGGAAUCUUUUAAGUCCAAAGAUUUCAUCAGACACUCUGAGAAAUGUGAUGGACAUGAAAGCGAAUAUGGGCUCAUUUGGAGCUGCUUUGAAGGACAAAAACGUUUGGGUGAUGAAUGUUGUGCCUGAAGAUGGUCCUAACACGCUUAAGCUUGUGUACGAUAGAGGGCUUAUUGGCACAAUCCAUAACUGGUAUGCUACUGAAUUGUUUUGUAGUUUUCAUAAAUUUGAAGUUUGGUUACUAAAUUUUCAUCUUCUGGUACAAGUGAAUAAUUCAAGGGUUGGAAGAGUUAAUUUAGUGGCUGAAGAAAAUUUAGAUUAUUGGAACAUAUUAUAACAUUUGUCUUGGUAUGUUGAGGCUCUAUUCUUCUUUUCUUGAGCUUCUUAAAUUUGAUUAUGGAAAAAUAAUUGCUGCUCAAAAAAUUUGAAAACAUGUUUUGGUUGUUUAGGGUUUUUGAAAGCCAAAAACUGUUUUCAGAAUCACCUCCAGGCUGCUGUCAGCAAUCAGUUUAUUCAAGCAUAAUUAAAGCUUAAAAAGAAGGUCAACUGCAAGUGAGACUACCUAGAAAAGAGAUUUUAGCUAAAGAAUGUAUGUACUCAGCUGAUUUUAAGCAACUUAGGACAGGCACCAAUGGCCGAGAGUUUUCCUAGCUUUCUUAGAAAAGUGACAAACAUUGCAGAUGCUCUAUAACCUUUAUUCAGUAUGCCUUACUUCAAAUUUGUUGGAAACAGGUGUGAAGCCUUCUCAACAUACCCUAGGACUUAUGAUUUGCUCCAUGCUUGGUCUGUGUUCUCUGAUAUUGAGAAGAAGGGUUGUAGCGGUGAGGAUCUGCUGCUUGAAAUGGAUCGGAUACUAAGGCCUACUGGAUUUGUUAUCAUCAGGGACAAACAACCGGUUAUUGAGUUUGUAAAGAAGUACAUGGGUGCGAUGCACUGGGAAGCAGUUGGAACAGCUGAUUCCACUUCUGAUCCAGACCAGGAAGGAGAUGAACUCGUGUUUGUCAUCCAAAAGAAGCUGUGGUUGACUAGUGAAAGUUUGAGGGAUACAGAAUAGGCAAACAGUGUGGUGCACCUCAAUUGUCUUCUAUAUCCACACGCUCCCAUCUCUUUGGAUUCAAGAAGGACGUCCUGAGAGCAUGGAAAUCAGUUUUUUACUCUGUAGCAUUAUGUGAUGAUGAUUUUUCUAAAUUUUCUCUUCAGCUUUGAUUUUGAUUUAGUUGACAAGGCAUAGACUUCUGCACCUAUAGGCAAUUCUUCAUUGUUUUGAUAUCAAUAGAUUUUGAGUUAUUUUGAAGCCACUUUGCCAAUGACCAAUAAUCUCAGCUGCUAUACAUGCUAAAAGUGG
rnacentral:lncRNA from 1 species